CAAGAUGUGGCUAAGAUAGAAAAGCAUCCCCCUUACACCGAGAAAACGUCCGUGCAAAUCGAACCCUUUUGA
rnacentral:tRNA from 1 species